rnacentral:siRNA from 1 species
GGAUUUAUGAAAGACGAA